rnacentral:lncRNA from 1 species
UUUUUUUAUCCUGAUCCAUACUUUAAAAUAUAAUUUGGAUGACCAAAAUAUAGGAAUCAACCAGGGACAGAGCUAAAGGGACGGGUAAAAUUAGAAACUAUAAAACUAGAAACUCCAACUACUCGCUAUAUGGCUGUUAAUUAGAUAAAAUUAGCUAGACACUGGCUCUAAACUUAUGGUAAAAGCCUUAGACUAAAACUUAUGCGAAUUCGAUAAUACAUUAAGUUAGAUAUAGCUAGACACUCGCUAUAUGGUUUUAGUCUAAGCUUAUUAAAAGCUUUGGACUAGCUACAACAUCUUCAUAUCUUGCAAGAGGAGGUGGAUAUGGAGUAUAGCUAGACACUGCUUCCUUCGUAGGCACAAAAGUCUGCUUGGCGAAUGAAGUUGACGCCAUUGACUAUAUUCCUUUUGUUUUUCAGUAUUCCACCCUUGACAAACCCUUCACUGUUCAAACCACCAACAAUAUCAACCAUUAGCUGUCAUUUUAUUACUGCUCUAUAGACUUAAAUGCAUGCGAAGAAAAAAAAUAUCCAAAGACAAACAACACUGUUGAACUAGAAUGAAGUCAGAGUAAAAGAAACCCUACCAAGCCAAAACUAAAAGAAAACAAAGGCUAGCAUGCACAACAAGAAGAAAAGCCGAUGACUGAAGAGAAA